UACAGAGGUCCCAAGCGUUUGUUCGGAUUCACUGGGCGUAAAGGGUGCGUAGGUGGUGAGGUAAGUCGGAUGUGAAAGCUCGGAGCUCAACUCCGAAAUGGCAUUGGAAACUACCUUGCUCGAGGGUUGGAGGGGAGACUGGAAUUCCUGGUGUAGCGGUGAAAUGCGCAGAUAUCAGGAGGAACACCGAUGGCGAAGGCAGGUCUCUGGGCCACUACUGACGCUGAGAAGCGAAAGCAUGGGGAGCGAACAGG
rnacentral:rRNA from 1 species